UGGUUCCCUGGUGCCCUGGUUCCUGUUCCCACGGCUGCCGCAUCUAUUAUGCCCGCGCCCCUCCUGUUCCAUGAAGGUUCUGGAUGGAGGUCUCAUGAGGGAUUCGGGCAGAGGCUGAUGAAAACAUAAAACAGGCCAGUCUCCAGAUUCAAGGGAGAGCUGGAGACAGCAUUCAUAGCUUGACCAGGCAGCUUUGACCAGGACCUCAUCAUGUCACUUUCAUGCAGCAGAGGCAGCGACCACUGGAGAGGGACACUAAGGACUGCUCCUGGAUCUUGUUUAAACACAAGGAGCUGGGUUUCGAAGACUCCACGAGGGACUUUAGGACCCUACGUUACUUAUCGACAUAAAAAGAGGAGAAGAUAAAGCCUCACAAUUCUUCCUCCCACUUCCUCAGGUGGCCAAUGCUGCUUUUAUUGUGGAAUGGGUUUGCCACAAAGCCUCAGGCUGAUAGAUAAGACUCGGGUCUCUGAAAAAUGACAGCUUGACAUCAAACCAACAAAAUCAAUUUCCAAAUUGAUUAAAACCAUUCUCAAAUAAAACUCCGCUGGCUUUUUCGAAUCCCAUUGUAAAAGGUCAUCUGGGAAGUAAGCACCAUAUUUGUUUUAAGUUAGCAGAAGCCCGCAGCGCACUUGAGGCCCUACAGUUUCGGGGCCAGGCUGGGCUGACUGGGCCCACACACGCCUCCGCCCUCACCACAGCCGCCAGCUCCAGGGUGCCCACCAGAGCCAGGGCGGGAAGCCACCUCCAGGCUGGCCCUUCGUCUUGGCUCUUUGAAAACCUUUGGGUGAGGUGUGUCUCUUGGAUCAAAUAAACAAUCAACAAUUGGCUGCUGUCAUUAAGGGAGAGGGUUAGUGCUGAGGGAGACAUAUCCUGGGGGCAUUUUGUGUGAUUAUGGGGUGAUUUAUGAUUCAUAGAGAUCAAGCGAUAAACGUACUGAAAUGCCAAGAAAGAAAAUUGGAGAGAAAAAUUGCUACAAAUGUUAUUCUUAUUUUUUAAGGAGAUUUAUUUUAUUUGCAAGAUUUGUAAUUGAUGCAAAGCCUGUAAAUGCAGGUGCCCCACUGUCAAAUCCUCUCCCUUCCAGACCCUUCGUAAAGGCGUGACCUGCUUCAAGAAACACGAUAUUUGAAAAUAUGAAAUCUACACAUCGAGACACAUUAAGAGUGACUGUUCGCAUGACAAAAGGGUUUGCCACUUUACAAAAGAUUCAUCCCAGUGUUUCUUAAAGAACCAUACAACUGUGAUGUAUUUUAAAUGUCUUUCAAUUAAAAGAAUUGACUCAUGCUCAAUU
rnacentral:lncRNA from 1 species